AGAGGACAGGAUGAACUGUGCCUGCUCUCCUCUCUUCUUCCACUGAUUUACACUUCAUCACAAACUGAAAAUGACCCAGUGGACCUGCUCUAGCCUCUUCUUCUUCUCUCCCUCUGGUCUAGUCUUCCAGUGUCCAUUUAUUACAUGUGGACUGCACACUGACCUUAAGAACUCCCCUUAUCUCCUAUUCCCCCUGGCUGGUGUUUAAUAGUUAAUGACCCAUCAUGAGAAAACUAAUGAGACUAAAAGCAGAGGAGAGGAGAGGAGCAGGAGGCACCGCAGGAAGUGAGAGAGGACACAGAUGGAGGAGAGGCGGACAGAAACGGUGAUAUUUCGAAGACAGCGCGGAUGAGAUGGAUGGAGAGUUGGCAAAGAGCCCGAUCUGGUAACUCUGCCCACUCGUCUAAAAGUCUGGCUGUGCACCUGCAUCUUAUUGGCAUUGACAUGUCCUUCCCAUAGGUGGAUAUGUCGGAAGAUAGUGUGACACAUGCUGAGUGAGAGCCGCGACCCUCCUGUGGAAGAUAAAGCGGUAGAAAAUGGAUGGAUGGAUGGAACUAAGAGGAAAACUAACUUAAUUAUCUCUCUGUGGAUCUGUUUGUUUCUGUCUCUGUGACCAGAUAGAAAUCAUCUUUGCAAAAUAGGUAUUACCUAACAGAUACAAACAUCUAGAUUUCUGUAACUCUAUACUGUUUAGGUCCUCUUAUUGACCGUCUCUGCUCUAGUUCUCCCUCUGGGCCACAACUGUCUGUGUCCCACCCUGGCCCACGCCCAGUAAUGGUUCCUCUUGGUAAAUGGUUGCAUUAGGAAGAGUGCAUCAUCCUCAUGACCAUCGACCAAAGUAACAUUAGCUUGGGUAGGGAAGCCAGUGACUCUGCGAGCUAAUGCACUUCUAAAAGAGGAAGCAGAGCAACUGCACUGAAACCCUAUUUUCAUUCAGAUACAGCUCAGCUUUAACCAGACUCACAUAAUGGAUGCUGCACACAGUAAUGGUGGGAAUCCUCAUGAAAGCCUCUGACGAUUAGUCUAAUUCCAGAACGAUCAAGCUAAUGUAGGAGUACUUUUAAGUUUCUAUGUCACACCAUGAAUACUUAAGACCGCUCUUCUGUUUUAAAUCUUUUUCAUGGGUUAGAAGUACUCAAUCUGAGUUUAAGCCCUUUAAAAUCUGUAUGAACAUAUUUCUAAGAACCGGAUUUUUCUUUUUAAAAAUGUGCGGGUUAAUUUAUUUUACUGUAUUGUAUCCGUCAGAUACACAA